UACGUAGGUGACAAGCGUUAAUCGGAAUUACUGGGCGUAAAGCGUGCGUAGACGGUUGCGUAAGUCAGAUGUGAAAGCCCCGGGCUCAACCUGGGAAUUGCAUUUGAGACUGCGUAGCUAGGGUGCGGAAGAGGGAAGCGGAAUUUCCGGUGUAGCGGUGAAAUGCGUAGAUAUCGGAAGGAACACCAGUGGCGAAAGCGGCUUCCUGGUCCAGCACCGACGUUCAGGCACGAAAGCGUGGGGAGCAAACAGG
rnacentral:rRNA from 1 species